CCAAUGACUAGGAACCAGUUGAGGUUGAUAGAUCUCCUGGUUGCUAAAAUCAAAUACCAUCUUUGUGCACCUUUUUUAUGUCUCUGGUGGUCGCAAGAGAAGUCUCUUAUUUGGAGGAUCUCUUCUAGUUCAUUUUGAUCCUCGGACAAAUGAAUGAAGCCACCAAAUGGUUGCUAUAACACACUUUUUUGCCGUCCAAAAUAUCUGUCUAACAUUGAUUUGUGUAAAAUACAUAAAA
rnacentral:misc_RNA from 1 species